CUACGGGAGGCAGCAGUGGGGAAUAUUGCGCAAUGGGCGAAAGCCUGACGCAGCAACGCCGUGUGAGGGAUGAAGGCUUUCGGGUCGUAAACCUCUGUCGGAAGGGAAGAACGGGCAUUGGUCUAAUAGGCCUUUGUUUUGACGGUACCUUUAGAGGAAGCACCGGCUAACUCCGUGCCAGCAGCCGCGGUAAUACGGAGGGUGCAAGCGUUAUUCGGAAUUACUGGGCGUAAAGCGCACGUAGGCGGCCUUGUAAGUCAGGGGUGAAAUCCCACGGCUCAACCGUGGAACUGCCUUUGAAACUGCAGGGCUUGAAUCCUGGAGAGGGUGGCGGAAUUCCUGGUGUAGGAGUGAAAUCCGUAGAUAUCAGGAGGAACACCGGUGGCGAAGGCGGCCACCUGGACAGGCAUUGACGCUGAGGUGCGAAAGUGUGGGGAGCAAACAGGAUUAGAUACCCUCGUAGUC
rnacentral:rRNA from 1 species